rnacentral:rRNA from 1 species
UACGUAGGGGGCUAGCGUUGUCCGGAAUCACUGGGCGUAAAGGCGCGUAGGCGGCCUGAUAAGUAGGGGGUGAAAUCCUGCGGCUUAACCGCAGGGCUGCCUUCUAAACUGUCAGGCUUGAGCACAGUAGAGGCAGGUGGAAUUCCCGGUGUAGCGGUGGAAUGCGUAGAGAUCGGGAAGAACAUCAGUGGCGAAGGCGGCCUGCUGGGCUGUUGCUGACGCUGAGGCGCGACAGCGUGGGGAGCAAACAGG